rnacentral:rRNA from 1 species
UAGGGAAUCUUCGGCAAUGGACGAAAGUCUGACCGAGCAACGCCGCGUGAGUGAAGAAGGUUUUCGGAUCGUAAAACUCUGUUGUUAGAGAAGAACAAGGACGUUAGUAACUGAACGUCCCCUGACGGUAUCUAACCAGAAAGCCACGGCUAACUACGUGCCAGCAGCCGCGGUAAUACGUAGGUGGCAAGCGUUGUCCGGAUUUAUUGGGCGUAAAGCGAGCGCAGGCGGUUUCUUAAGUCUGAUGUGAAAGCCCCCGGCUCAACCGGGGAGGGUCAUUGGAAACUGGUAGACUUGAGUGCAGAAGAGGAGGGUGGAAUUCCAUGUGUAGCGGUGAAAUGCGUAGAUAUAUGGAGGAACACCAGUGGCGAAGGCGGCUCUCUGGUCUGUAACUGACGCUGAGGCUCGAAAGCGUGGGGAGCAAACAGG